UACGUAGGGUGCAAGCGUUUGUCCGGAAUCAUUGGGCGUAAAGCGCGCGUAGGUGGUCAUGUAAGUCCGCUGUGAAAGUCAAAGGCUCAACCUUUGAAAGCCGGUGGAUACUGCAUGACUAGAGUACGGAAGAGGCGAGUGGAAUUCCUGGUGUAGCGGUGGAAUGCGCAGAUAUCAGGAGGAACACCAAUAGCGAAGGCAGCUCGCUGGGACGUUACUGACACUGAGGCGCGAAAGCGUGGGGAGCGAACAGG
rnacentral:rRNA from 1 species